UUUUGAUUGGGCGGCAAGGGCGGUGUAGUCAGAGGGUCAGGUGUGGUUUGAAUUGUGGAACUUAAAGGGUUAGUCGAGUUAAUGUUCUUGCUGGAGUUUGAGUUUGGGUGUGGGGAGGGAUAUGGUGUUGGUCCUCUGAAAAGCCGGAGAAGUGAGACGUGGAAGACCGGAUGAAUGCGAGAGGAGGGAGGUAAUCUAAGCUCAUACGCAACGGUGCCUAUGCGGCGGCUUAUUUGGUAUGGUCCCGAGUAGCGAGGAGAUAGUUUUUGACAGGGACGACGUUCCACAGAUUGUUGGCGGUAUGGUUGGAGGCGAACCCAGACCCAAUCAUCUACGUUGAACGUGCGGUCCGAACGGUGCCGAUUUGCCUGGUCGCACAUGCGUUGGCGAGUUCUGCGGAGAUUAUGUUUGAGAGAGUGCAACACUAAGGUAUGCUGAUGUAGCAGAUCCGAGAUAGUGGUGCCAACGCGAGGCGUGUGCAACAAAUCCAAGAUGGUGGGAGGUGGACGACCGUAUAGAGCAUGGAAGGGAGAGGUGCCAAUAGCCGAGUGAUGAGUCGUAUUAUGCCAUAACUCUGCGAGGUGGAGGUAUUGGUACCAUGUGUGCGGGUGGUCCUCCGUGAAACAUCGCAGGUAAGCUUCGAGCCCUCUAUUUAAAACCUCAGUUUGCCCAUCCGUUUGUGGGUGAUAGGCAGAGCUAAAUUUUAAUACCCUGAGCUUUGAAUAGUUGUCUCCAGAACGUGCUAACAAAGAGUCGAUCUCGAUCUGAUACGACUGUUUUUGGCAUUCCAUGAAGGCGGAAGAUCUCCACAGCAAAGCGUCGUGCGAGUUGUUGCGCCGUGAAGUGGGUGGGAAGAGCCAGAAAAUGGGCGUACUUGGUGAGGCGGUCGCAGAUAACCCAAACUACCGUGUGACCCGCAGAGGAAGGUAAGUGAGUUAUGAAAUCCAUAGACAAAUCUUCCCAUACUUGUGCUGGUGUCGGUAGAGGUUGAAGUAACCCCUGACUUUUUUUUGGCAUGUAUUUAUUUCUUUGGCAAGUGACGCACUGUUGGAGAAAUUGUUUCACAUCCCGCGUCCAUCCUGGCCAAUAAAACGAGGCAGCAAUUCGGGCGAGGGUAGGCUUGAGGCUGGAAUGGCCAUUUAUGUGGGACUCAUGCAUUUCGUGGAGGAUCUGUUCUCUAAAUUUAUUGGACGCCGGAAGGAACAGUCGAUGUCGAAAGAACAACAUCCCAUUGCGAACUGAGAACAAAUUGGGUUGGGGUUGAUCGUGCGUGCACGAUUGAAUUAACUGGGCACCUUCCGAGGUUUUGAAGAACUGUUUUAACUCUUGAAAUAAGAGGGGAAUCGGUGAAGACAAAGCAAACAACAACGAAGGUGUUGGUGUUCCUUGGCGGGAUAGAGCAUCAACAACUACAUUUUGUGUUCCAGGUCGGUAUAAAAUUUGAAAAUCAUAUCCUUGUAAUUUUGCUAUCCAUUUCUGUUGUUCUGGUGUUUGAAUCGUCUGUGACAGUAAUGUAUGCAAGCUUUGUUGAUCUGUGAAAAUUUUGAAGUGUUGGCCUAGUAAGUACUGACGCCAUUUCUUUACUGCUUCUGUUAUUGCAUACAUCUCCCUUACGUACACGGAUGACGCUUGGAGUCGUGGACACAUCUUCUUGCUGAAGAAUGAAAGUGGGCGUUUGUUCUGGCUGAGCACUGCCCCCACUGCCACUGCAGACGCAUCGGUCUCCACUACAAAGGGCUGGCUGAAAUCUGGAAGGUGUAGUGUAGGAACCCUUGCAAUUUGUAAUUUCAAUUCGGUGAAAGCUGUAUCAGCGGUCACAGGCCAGAUAAAUUUCUGGUUAUGUAAUAAGUCGGUGAGAGGAGCGGUGAGAGUGGUGUAAUGUCGAACAAAUUUUCUAUAAAAGCCGGUGAGACCGAGGAAACCCGAGUUCCGUGAGUGAACGUGGCUGUGGCCAAUAAUGUAUGGCAGUGACUUUUUCUGGGUCCGGGGAAACACCACCAAGAGAAAUGAUAUGACCUAAGUAAUGAACUUGAGUGGUUGCAAAACUGCACUUGGUUAGCUUCACAGAGAAUUGCUUAGUGUCUAAGAGAUCCAGAAUAAUCUGUAAAUGAGUAAUAUGAUCUUGUAAUGUAGGACUAUAAAUUAAAAUAUCAUAAAAAAAAAACUAGGACAAACCGCCUUAAAUAUGGUCGAAGAAGAUCAUUCAUAGCAGCUUGGAAUGUAGAGGGUGCAUUAGUCAAGCCGAAUGGCAUGACUAAAAAUUCGUAAUGUCCAUCAGUGGUCCUAAAAGCUGUCUUAUGGGUGUCCUUUGGGGUGACUCUUAUUUGGUGAUACCCUGCGUAUAAAUCCAGCUUAGUGAAUACUGUAGCUGAACCUAAUUCAUCUAGCAAUUCAUCGAUGGUUGGUAUUGGGAAGCGGUCACGGAUGGUGGCUGCAUUUAAGGCUCUGUAGUCAACACAAAAACGCCAACUACCAUCUUUCUUUUUUAUAAGGAGGACAGGGGAUGAAAAAGGGUUGUUGCUAGGUUUGAUGAAACCAUCUUGCAACAUUUCCUUAAUGAGAGUAGUGAUAGUUUCCUUCUAGGAGUGUGGGUAGCGAUAUGGUUUAACAUUGAUAGGAGGUGUGUGUGGGAGGAGGGGAAUUUGAUGGUCAUGUAACCUCGAUGGGGGUAGCCCGUGGGGUAUUUGAAAAAUUGAGUGAUGUUGGAGGAGAAUGGCUUGGAUGGGAAAAGGUAAGGAGUAUAAUGGGGAAGAGGGAUUUUGUAGGUUGCUUUCUAGCUGGCUUGGGGAUGAUGAUGGGCUAUCAAUUGAUAAGAGGUGGAGAGAUGCAAUGGAGUUAGUAGAGAGAUAUUGACAAAACUGAUGGUAG
rnacentral:lncRNA from 1 species